GACGAACGCUGGCGGCGUGCUUAACACAUGCAAGUCGAACGGAAAGGCACUGCGUGUGUGGGGUGCUCGAGUGGCGAACGGGUGAGUAACACGUGAGUAACCUGCCCUUGACUUUGGGAUAACUUCAGGAAACUGGGGCUAAUACCGGAUAGGAGCUCCUGUUGCAUUGUGGGGGGUGGAAAGUUUCGGCGGGUGGGGUUGGACGCGCGGCUUACCAGCUAGUUGGUUGGGUAGGGGCUUACCCAGGAAUUGACCGAUAGGCGGCACGGGAGGGUGGACGGCGACCAGGGUCCUGAGAGAGGGAGCAGAGUCCAACGGGGGGCAACAGUGGCGAAUAUUGCACAGUGGGCCCGAGCCUGUUACGGCGACCCCGGGUGCGGGAUGCCGGCCUUUGGGGUGUAAACCGCUUUAGCCUGAGACGAAGCGGGUGUGACGGUAAUGGGUAAAGAAGCACCGGCUAACUACGUG
rnacentral:rRNA from 1 species